GAAAGAGCAGAAAAGUUUGGAGAACCAGAAUCAUUGACAGGAAUUGGGGAAACUGUGGUUGAAUUGGAGCAUUAUAAGAGUAAGUGUUUUGAAUUGUCUGUGGAGCUUGAGAAAAAGAAAGUGGAGUGCACCAUACUCCAGGGUCAAUUAGCAGAGGUAGAAGAAGCUAGAAAGACUGCUACUACAGAUGGGACUGAGCAGACACUCGCGGAUGCAAUUGGAUGUUGGAAGAAAAUGUUUUCUGAUUUGGCGGAAAGUGUGGAGUCUCGCAUUUUGUAUCUGGAGAACAUAGUCAUGAUGAUGGAAAAUAGAAUUUCAACAAUGGAAGGAUGUGUAGAGUCUUGCAUUUCGAAGUUGGAUAGCCUAGUCCUGAGGAGUGGAAAGGGAAGUUCAAUAUUGAGAUGUGUACAAUUGCGCGAUACUGAAAAGAUGGUGUCUGAAGCGCGGGGUUGGCAGAAUGACGUUACUCAAAAGUGGUGAAAAGCAAAUAGAUGAAAACAACAGGAGCAUACCUAAUGCUGAAACCAGCAGUGGGGGGAGGAAGGAUUCUCAUGUGUACGAGUGUAAAGAAAAGGUGCUGAAUGUGUGUGAUGUUGGUAGCCUACAUUUAUCAAGUGGGGGUGAAAACGUCCAAGAAGGGAAGGGUUGCGGCUGUUCGGAGGAGAGGCCACCUCAACAUGGAUCAUCAUCUCAAGAUCAUCUGGAAAUGAGUAUGAAUCCUUUUGUGAACUUGGUCUCAGAUGAUGAUAGUGCUGAAAUUCUUGGGGAAUCUGAAGAUUAUUAUUGUUCUCUUGGGGCCCUUAUGGACAUGAUGGCGAUGAACUAUAGAAAUAGGAAUGAAGAUAAAGAAAUAAAUUUGAAGUUUGAGGCUGAUAUGCUUUCUUCCUUUGAAGAGGAACCUGAGCUCUGUUUGAAAGCUGUUUGUGCUCUCUAUCGACAGCAGAUAUGUGAAGACGAAAUAUCUGACAAGGUGUUGUUCCAUAACAGAGAUGCGCUCAGGAAUUGGGUGGCACCAGAAAAUUUAGUGGUCGAUUUCUCGUAAUUGUCACAUAAAAGGGUUUUCUGGCUUCCCCGGAUUUCAAAUCUGUUGUUGUUGGUUGAACAGUGAGAGCAAGAGAUUUUGUGCUUGUGGCUGCACGUGCACAGGGUGUACUACUUUGGCCAAGUUUUUGUUGGAUGGGGCCAGCAAAGGUGACCUGAACAAGUCUGUGAAAGAUCUGGAGAUAUUUGAUUCUAAAGGGGUUGAAGACUGCAAGAGGCUGGCUACAAGCUACUCGAUGCAGUUAUUCAGUAUCUACCAAAGCAGAAAAGAUUCUUAUUUCCUUCCUGCUACAACUGCCAUCCAUGGAGAUCAAAUCCCUAAGUAACAGAUUGUUGUGCAAGUGGCCUUCACUUUUGCACCAGGCAUUCCAAUGUUGCAUCUCCUUUUAAUCUUCUCUAAUUUUGUACAAAUAUGAAAAGGAAAACUGGUGAAUGUGGUAAAUGAUAUUUUGGUAGUUACACUUGAGAUUGUUUUGAUAGGUGUACA